rnacentral:rRNA from 1 species
CAGCAGCCGCGGUAAUACGUAGGGGGCAAGCGUUGCUCGGAAUUACUGGGCGUAAAGGGUGAGUAGGCGGUCGGGCAAGUCAAGGAUGAAAUCCCGAGGCUCAACUUCGGAAUUGUUCUUGAAACUGCUCGGCUUGAGGGUAGUUGAGGAGAGCGGAAUUCCCGGUGGAGCGGUGAAAUGCGUAGAUAUCGGGAGGAACACCUGAGGCGAAGGCGGCUCUCUAAACUACUCCUGACGCUGAAUCACGAAAGCUAGGGGAGCAAACGGGAUUAGAUACCCCGGUAGUCCUAGCCGUAAACGAUGGACACUGGAUAUUCCGGCAUUUCUGCUGGAGUGUCGUAGCUAACGCGUUAAGUGUCCCGCCUGGGGAGUACGAUCGCAAGGUUGAAACUCAAAGGAAUUGACGGGGGCCCGCACAAGCGGUGGAGCAUGUGGUUUAAUUCGACGCUACGCGAAGAACCUUACCUGGGCUUGAACUGCUGGUGGUAGAAGCCCGAAAGGGUAACGACCCGGAGCAAUCCGGGAGCCAGUAGAGGAGGUGCAUGGCC